UGGCCUAUCAUACAUUACAUUAGAUCUUUGUCGUAAUAUCAUGUUAAAGUGCAGAAACAAGUAACAACCCAUGUUGGUUUAUUAAGCAAAUAAAUACGGCAUACUUUUCAAUCCAAAGCUUUCUUUCGACAUCUGGAGUUCCAUGCACUUGUGUAAGGCUGAAAGGCUGCUUCCAAUACCCUACUUAUAAACCAUCUGGUGGGUCCAGUUUAACAACUGCUUAAAUGGAAAAAGUAGAGCCAGCAAAAAUUGUAAUCAGAUCCAUUUCGAUGUUGAGAGUAGGCUGACUAUUCUACCGUGCAGUUCAAUCCAUUGACAUAUAGGAAUCGUCAAAUGGAUCUUUGGAAAGCUGGAUUUCCUGAAAGCUACCACCACUG
rnacentral:misc_RNA from 1 species